rnacentral:rRNA from 1 species
CCUACGGGUGGCUGCAGUGGGGAAUAUUGGACAAUGGGCGAAAGCCUGAUCCAGCCAUGCCGCGUGUGUGAAGAAGGCCUUCGGGUUGUAAAGCACUUUCAGUGGGGAAGAAAGCCUUGGGGCUAAUACCCUCGAGGAAGGACAUCACCCACAGAAGAAGCACCGGCUAACUCCGUGCCAGCAGCCGCGGUAAUACGGAGGGUGCGAGCGUUAAUCGGAAUUACUGGGCGUAAAGCGCGCGUAGGCGGUCUGAUAAGCCGGUUGUGAAAGCCCCGGGCUCAACCUGGGAACGGCAUCCGGAACUGUCAGGCUAGGGUGCAGGGGAGGAAGGUAGAAUUCCCGGUGUAGCGGUGAAAUGCGUAGAGAUCGGGAGGAAUACCAGUGGCGAAGGCGGCCUUCUGGACUGACACUGACGCGGAGGUGCGAAAGCGUGGGUAGCAAACAGGAUUAGAUACCCAGUAGUC